GUAAGGACCUUGUUAAAACGCAGUUUCUGACUCAGUAGUGUGAAUGGGGCCAGAAUGCUGCAUUUCUAACACUCUCCCAGAUGGUGCCAAUGUUCCUCAUCCACAGACCACAGCUGAAGUAGCAACUAUGUAAACCUCAGGCUACUCAUCACAGUGCAGAGUGAUUUCACCUAAAGGCACAACAGCAGCUGAUUGCCACAAUACAAACAAGAGCCGCCACUUACUGACAGCAGCUACGUGCCAGGUAAGUCAAAUGAGGAAGAACACCUUCAGUGUGGGGGAGAAAUGGGUCUUCAACGUCAUCUUAGACCAGUGGCUCUCAAAGUAUAUAACAGCAGCGUCAACAUCAGCAUUAUCUGGGAACGUGUUGGAGAUGUGAAUUCUUGGGUUCCACUUCAGACAACGAAUCAGAAAUUCUGGGGUAUGUGAGAAGAAACAUAAAGAAAAAUACCUGUGCUUGUGAAAGAAAGAGGCAAAGAAAAUAUUUUGAAGUGAGAAGCCCACAAGAAGGUGUAAUAUCCAAAAUUCUCUUUAUAACAAUGUGAAUUAGGUGCAGACAUUGGGUUGAAAGGUUUUCUGUAACUAAUUGUUAUGGCUGAAGAAAUAACAAGACUGGCUAUAUUUUUAGCGGAUAGCCUGUCAAUGUGGAAAGACAAUAGAAGAUACUUUGUAGUCUGGGAAGAGGUUAAAAAACAUAUACCCAACUAGGUUGUAAUGAAAAUUUCAACCAAAAGGAAAGUGGCACAUACCCAGCUUUAGGAAUCAUAUGCAAACAUCCUGAGAAGAAAACCUUACCUUCUAAAAUGUUAAGUAAUAAAAAAAUGAAUUGACACAGUAUAUAUUCAAAGAUAAAAGGAAAAGUGAGAAAAGAAAUGACAGUAACAUGCAAUGGAUGGAAAAUAAAUAUCACUCCAUAGACAAAAGAAAUUGUGGUCAAACACUUCUCAUAAAUUGUAAAUUCAUAAAUAAGUAAACAUAUAUAUAUGUGCUUGUGUGUUUUAAAUAUUUGUGUUGUGUAAGAACAUGCUUGCAAUUCAUUUGUAGAUCUUGUUGGGGUAUUGGCAAUCAUAUAGCAUAUGCAUAUUGAUAUUUUAAUUUAUUUUUUCUCUUAAUCCUAACUUUGAUUCAUUUGUAUUGUCUUGUAUAGGCUGGGGCAUUUGACACAAGGUUAAGUAGAGGUAGCAAAGUAUAGAAGCAAUGAAAUCAGUAUAUUUCUGCCUUUAAUGAAAGUGCUUCUGAAGCUUCACUGUAUAUAUGCCCAAGAUAACCAUUAUCAGGUUAAGAAAGAUCUUCUCUAUUUAUAAUUUAAAAGAUGCUUUUCCAUGAAUAAGUGUUGAGCUUUUACUAAGUGUAUUUUCCCUUAUAUUAAGGUCAUCAUGAUUUUUUUCUUUUAAUCUGUUAAUUUGGUGAAUUAUAUUAAUCAAGUUUCUAAUGUAAAAUUACCUUUUUUUAUUUUCCCAGAGACAUUUUGCUUUUGCUUUUGCUAAGACCUCAAAAUGUUACCAUUUGGGGAAUAUUUUACUGAUACAUUUUCAGCUUGGGGCUUCUUGGGCAAGGUGAGCCAUAAAAAUGUGAAUUCCUAAAUUUGUAUGAUGGCUCAUAUCUGAUUACUAAUUUUAUAUGAAGUAUUUUCUUCUUCUUCUUUAUUUUAUUUUCACUAAUAGCACUGGCCCUGACAGAUCAACAUUUUUUUUUCCUUUGCUUGUUGAUAUAUUUAUUCUUGUCAAGUGUUUCACUGAAUAUAUAGUUCUUUGGUUCUUCAUUGAAAAUGAACUUUUUGAUUCCCCACUUUCUUCUUUCCAAAGGUUCUAGAUCUGGUCAUCUCUCUUUCUCUGUUGCAUUAAAGUUAAAACCUUUUCACUACUCUUUGGAUACCCCAAAAUGUUUAAGUGCCAAUUUCAGCUUUCACUUGAUGUUGAAGCUCUGAGUAUUUUUCCUUCCUCCUUUUGAGCUUUACUUUCAUUUUCGUUAUAUUUUAACCAGUAUUUCCAGUUUUUUGGUAUAGGGAAUUUUUAGGCUAUCUAGUUAGCCAUACAAAGAAAAAUUAUCAACAGGACAUUUUUGAAGUUAGAUAAUGCUGGUGACCUUGAGUCUGGUAUGCUAAAAAUGUUUGUGUGUAUGUUUUCUGAGUCUUAACUACUUCCUAACAUAAUUUGUGCAAUUUUCUUUCAAAUCCCAAUUCCUUAGUAUUUUUAUGUUUACUUGUACACAUUGUUUUGAUCUCAUAUAAACAAAGACCUUGACUUGCAGUUAUGUGUGUACUUGAUCCUUGACAUAACAUUGGCUCAAAUCAAUAAUUUGAUAACAUAAAGCUGAUUUUGGCCUAUACAAAUAUCUUGGUCCUUCUCUGAGGGUGCUGCUGCAUUGUGUUGAACUGUAAGUUCAAGUUGCUGCCUUUUUUCUCUUCUCAGAAAUAUUCAUAUUAAUAAGCCUUUUGCUUUAUGCCAAAGUAGAACAUUUUUAAUGAAGGAAUCUUAAUUUGAAUUGGCCUAAUGUUAUUAGCAUACUCAGAGAGAUUUACAAAGGGUCAGUUGAAAAGAAUAAAGCUAGUAUUUCAUGAUACAUAAUUUGAAGUUUUUGGUAGUACUGGAAAAUAACAUUUUCAAAUGUAUUUAAAUCUUUCUACUUUUAUAACUGUGUUGUAUAUCAAAGCUAUUUGAAUUAGUUAGGGAAGGAGUUUACUUUUAAUAUAAAUUCAGUGCAUAAUAAGAGCAAGCUUAUAUUGUAGUAACUAUAUGCAGGCAUUGUUUCAACUACUUUACAUAUAUUAACUCAUUUAAUGUGCACAAUGGCCAUCUAUGAAGUAAUUAUUAUUAACCUUUCCAGUUUACAGUUGUGGACAGUAAGGCAUAGUGAGAUAAAGUAUCUUGUGCCAAGUCACACCACUGGUUAGAAUAGAGCUUAGAGAGUAAAACUCAGUCAAGAAUCCAUAGUCUAGUCCCUUAACUACAUGAUAUUACUUUCUUUUCCUGGCUGCAAAAUAUAUUUUCUAUGAUUUCUAUGGUUUAUUCUAUAUUAAAUAAUGUAUUAAAGGGGUAUAAUGAAUUUGAUGCUCAAUUAGCCUGUUUUUGAAGAAAGCUUAUAUACAUUUUGCAUAGCAGGUUUAUAUUCAAAAUUGACAGAUAGUAUAAGCUUUUAAAAAUCUUUGAAGACACCCAUAUUUUGUAUUAAGUGCCUCAUAAAAUUAUUUUAAAAUAUGUAUGUAACUUGUACUGUCUUCCUUAAUAAAUUUCUGCAUACGUCUUGGUUUAUUCAGCUUUUGUAAAUCUUAUUACCCACACAAGAUGCAGAUCAUCAUAAUAUAUUUUAGAUUGAUCAGGUUAGUAUUAUUGACCUGGAAUGAACAUUAAAGAUU
rnacentral:lncRNA from 1 species